rnacentral:rRNA from 1 species
GACAGAGGCGCCAAGCGUUAGGCGGAAUCACUGGGCUUAAAGCGUGUGUAGGCGGAUUUGUAAGUACCUUGUGAAAUCCCAUGGCUCAACCAUGGAACUGCUCGGUAUACUGCGAAUCUUGAGCCACUUAGGGGCUACCGGAACAAAUGGUGGAGCGGUGAAAUGCGUAGAUAUCAUUUGGAACGCCAAUGGUGAAAACAGGUAGCUGGGAGUGUGCUGACACUGAGACACGAAAGCCAGGGGAGCGAACGGG